AUUGAACGCUGGCGGCAGGCCUAACACAUGCAAGUCGAGCGGAGCGGCGGACGGGUGAGUAAUGCCUAGGAAUCUGCCUGGUAGUGGGGGAUAACGUCCGGAAACGGGCGCUAAUAACGCAUACUAUCAGAUGAGCCUAGGUCGGAUUAGCUAGUUGGGGGGGUAAAGGCCUACCAAGGCGACGAUCCGUAACUGGUCUGGGAGGAUGAUCAGUCAACCUGGAACUGAGAAAGGGCCCGAACUCUAAGGGAGGGAAGAGGUGGGGAAUUUUGGACAAGGGGGGAAGGCCGGAUACAGCCAGGCGGGGGGGGGGAAGAGGGUUUUGGGAUUGUAAAGCCCUUUAGGUGGGAAGGCGUACCAACAGAAUAAGCACCGGCUAACUUCGUGCCAGCAGCCGCGGUAAUAC
rnacentral:rRNA from 1 species